rnacentral:tRNA from 1 species
GGACCCGUAGCUCAGCGGUAGAGCGUAAGAUUCCAGGCCCUGGGUUAGGGUUGGAAAUUCCUUAAGGUCAUCCGUUCAAUCCGGGUCGGGUUCA